ACGAAGGUGGCGAGCGUUGUUCGGAAUCACUGGGCUUAAAGAGCACGUAGGCGGGCUGUCUUGCGUGGUGUGAAAUCCCCCGGCUUAACCGGGGAAUUGCAUGGCGAACGGGCAGUCUUGAGGCAGGUAGAGGUGUGGAGAACUCUUGGUGGAGCGGUGGAAUGCGUAGAUAUCAAGAGGAAUGCCGGAGGCGAAGGCGCCGCACUGGGCCUGUCCUGACGCUGAGGUGCGAAAGCCAGGGGAGCAAACGG
rnacentral:rRNA from 1 species